rnacentral:rRNA from 1 species
AGAGUUUGAUCAUGGCUCAGGAUGAACGCUGGCGGCGUGCCUAAUACAUGCAAGUCGAGCGGAAAGGCCUCUUCGGAGGUACUCGAGCGGCGGACGGCUGAGUAACGCGUAGGAACGUACCCCAAACUGAGGGAUAAGCACCAGAAAUGGUGUCUAAUACCGCAUGUGCUCUUCGGAGUAAAGCUUCGGCGGUUUGGGAACGGCCUGCGUAAGAUUAGCUUGUUGGUGAGGUAAUGGCUCACCAAGGCGACGAUCUUUAGCUGGUCUGAGAGGAUGAUCAGCCAGACUGGGACUGAGACACGGCCCAGACUCCUACGGGAGGCAGCAGUAGGGAAUUUUCCACAAUGGGCGAAAGCCUGAUGGAGCAACGCCGCGUGCAGGAUGAAUGCCUUAGGGUUGUAAACUGCUUUUAUAUGUGACGAAUAUGACGGUAGCAUAUGAAUAAGGAUCGGCUAACUCCGUGCCAGCAGCCGCGGUAAUUC